rnacentral:rRNA from 1 species
CCUACGGUGUGCUGCAGUGAGGAUUUUUGGUCAAUGGGCGCGAGCCUGAACCAGCCAAGUAGCGUGAAGGAUGACUGCCCUACGGGUUGUAAACUUCUUUUAUAAAGGAAUAAAGUGAGGCACGUGUGCCUUUUUGUAUGUACUUUAUGAAUAAGGAUCGGCUAACUACGUGCCAGUAGCCGCGGUAAUACGGAGGAUCCGAGCGUUAUCCGGAUUUAUUGGGUUUAAAGGGAGCGUAGAUGGGUUGUUAAGUCAGUUGUGAAAGUUUGCGGCUCAACCGUAAGAUUGCAAUUGAUACUGGCAGUCUUGAGUACAGUUGUGGUAGGCGGAAUUCGUGGUGUAGCGGUGAAAUGCUUAGAUAUCACGAAGAACUCCGAUUGCGAAGGCAGCUUACUAAACUGCCACUGACAUUGAUGCUCGAAAGUGUGGGUAUCAAACAGGAUUAGAUACCCUUGUAGUC